AGCCUAAUAGCUAGCCCGCCCAGACAAUUACAACACUCAGUUAUCCAUAACCCCUAACAUACUUAACAACCUAACUAAAUCAUUCUCCCCCCUAAGUAUAGGCGAUAGAAAAGGAACCAGGCGCAAUAGAAAAAGUACCGCAAGGGAACGCUGAAAGAGAAAUGAAACAACUCAGUAAAGCACAAAAAAGCAGAGCUUUUACCUCGUACCUUUUGCAUCAUGUUUUAGCAAGAGCCCCUCAAGCAAAAAGCAUUUUAGUUUGACCACCCGAAACUAGGUGAGCUACUCCAAGACAGCCUGACAAUAGGGCCAACCCGUCUCUGUGGCAAAAGAGUGGGAAGAGCUUUGAGUAGAGGUGACAGACCUACCGAACCCGGUUAUAGCUGGUUACCUGAGAAUUGAAUAGAAGUUCAGCCUCUCGAAUUCUUUCCUCCCUAAUAGUAGUUCUUAAUUGAGACACAAAGAAAUCUAGAGAGUUACUCAAAGGGGGUACAGCCCCUUUGAAACAAGACACAACUUUAUUAGGAGGAUAAGGAUCAAACUCAAACAAGG
rnacentral:rRNA from 1 species